CACUUGGCAUAUUAUUAAAAGCAUGUACUGAAAUUAAAAGCUAAACCAGGUACCUUCCGGUACUUUUUGUCUUCUGGAACUUCUGAAAUAUGUAGAUGCUCUUUUAACUAUAGGAACCUGUAUCCUUACAUUUAAAUUAUACCAACUGGUAUCUCCCGGCAAAUUUGAGAUAUUGCAUACAAGAAAAGUGGAUUAUGCGAAAAGUGUCAAACCCAUAUAAAAAAAUAAAAAAAAACCCAUAUAUAAAAAUUCCAACAUACUUUAUGGAAGCGGAUCGGUUGGCAAAGAAAGAAAGAAAGAAAAAUCAUUGAGCUGCGUGCGACACAAUGCGUGCAACUGGGCAUAUAGAGAGCGCAAUGUUGGAAGCUGUGCUCGUGGAUACUUGAGUAACUUUAGGUACGCGACGCGUUGAUUAUGAUAAUACUUGAUGAAUGAAACCAAAUGAUUUAGCUUAAGCUCAUAUUGCAUGGGGGAGCGCAGAAAUAAAUGAGAUCAAAUGCCAUUGAGCUGUAGUGAAGCAAUUGAAAGUUCACAAAAUAGGUUGCUUCCUGUGCAGGCGAACCUGCCUUAUUCUGGAAAACUAUAUCAUUAGUUCACAAAUCACCGUAAAGCAAUGCACUGAACUCCUCCGAAUCAGGCUUGUUCCGGCUGUAUACAAACAAUUCUUCUUAUAGGUGCUGUUAAACUCAAGACUAUCAAGACCCACCAAAUGAUCCAUGUUCCUAAUCUACAUCUACAUCUUCAUUAAACAAAUUAUAAUUUGAAGCGAGAUUUAAUCGUGAGUGGACCUAACACCUACAACAUAACCAAUAUAAAUAUACAAAAGACUCCUGCGACUAAAUAAAUACUUGAGAUUCUUUACAAUCAGAAAUCACGUACCCAAAAAGGAUUUUACCCACUUAUGCUACAGGGUAUUUUCCAGUCAUACAUUCCAAAAUUAGCAAUUGAUUAUUUUUGCUUAUACCUAUUACAAUGUUCAAAUGUUUGCGAUAUGUAUAUGUAUAUUUAAUUUAGAGAUUUUCUGUUUUUGUUUUUUGCUUCAUUUCGUUGCGUUUUGUUUUAAUUUGUUCAAUAUUGAUUGGUAUUUAUUAAUGUAAAUAGAAAUCUGAUAUCAUA